rnacentral:rRNA from 1 species
UACGUAGGAUGCAAGCGUUGUCCGGAAUUAUUGGGCGUAAAGAGCUCGUAGGCGGUCUGUCACGUCGGCUGUGAAAACUCGGGGCUCAACCCCGAGCCUGCAGUCGAUACGGGCAGACUAGAGUGCUGUAGGGGAGACUGGAAUUCCUGGUGUAGCGGUGAAAUGCGCAGAUAUCAGGAGGAACACCGGUGGCGAAGGCGGGUCUCUGGGCAGUAACUGACGCUGAGGAGCGAAAGCGUGGGGAGCAAACGGG